GAUGAACGCUGGCGGUAUGCCUAACACAUGCAAGUCGAACGCACCUUUAUGGUGAGUGGCGGACGGGUGAGUAACACGUGAGAAUCUGCCUCUUGGUCGGGGAUAACAGUUGGAAACGACUGCUAAUACCGGAUGAGCCGCAAGGUAAAAGAUUUAUUGCCAAGAGAAGAGCUCGCGCCUGAUUAGCUAGAUGGUGGGGUAAAAGCCUACCAUGGCGACGAUCAGUAGCUGGUCUGAGAGGAUGAGCAGCCACACUGGGACUGAGACACGGCCCAGACUCCUACGGGAGGCAGCAGUGGGGAA
rnacentral:rRNA from 1 species